rnacentral:rRNA from 1 species
UGCGUAGGUGGGUGAAUAAGUCAGUGGUGAAAGCUCCGAGCUUAACUCGGGAACUGCCAUUGAUACUGUUUACCUUGAAUAUAGUGGGAGGUUGGCGGAAUGUGUCAUGUAGCGGUGAAAUGCUUAGAUAUGACACAGAACACCGAUUGCGAAGGCAGCUGGCUACACUAUUAUUGACACUGAGGCACGAAAGCGUGGGGAUCAAACA